UACGUAGGUGGCAAGCGUUGUUCGGAAUUAUUGGGCGUAAAGGGCGCGUAGAGCGGUUUGUUAAGUCAGCUGUGAAAGCCCGGGGCUCAACCCCGGAGAGUCGACUGAGUACUGGCAGACUAGAGUACGGAAGAGGUAGCUGGAAUUCCCGGUGUAGCGGUGAAAUGCGUAGAUAUCGGGGAGGAACACCUGAGGCGAAGGCGGGCUACUGGGCCGAUACUGACGCUGAGGCGCGAAAGCCAGGGGAGCGAACGGG
rnacentral:rRNA from 1 species